AACGAACGCUGGCGGCAGGCCUAAUACAUGCAAGUCGAACGCGUGUAGCAAUACACGAGUGGCGCACGGGUGAGGAACACGUGGGAACCUACCCUCUGGUACGGAAUAACCCCGGGAAACUGGAGCUAAUACCGUAUGUCUCCUAAGGGAGAAAGAUUUAUCGCCGGAGGAGGGGCCCGCGUCCGAUUAGCUAGUUGGUGAGGUAACGGCUCACCAAGGCAACGAUCGGUAGCUGGUCUGAGAGGACGAUCAGCCACACUGGGACUGAGACACGGCCCAGACUCCUACGGGAGGCAGCAGUAGGGAAUAUUGGACAGUGGGCGAAAGCCUGAUCCAGCCAUGCCGCGUGAGUGAUGAAGGCCUUCGGGUUGUAAAGCUCUUUUGGCGGGGACGAUGAUGACGGUACCCGCAGAAUAAGCCCCGGCUAACUUCGUGCCAGCCGCCGCGGUAA
rnacentral:rRNA from 1 species